rnacentral:rRNA from 1 species
AGUCGACGGAGUGCCCAUGACAGAGGAUUCGUCCAUGGAUUGGGUUACUUAGUGGCGGACGGGUGAGUAACGCGUGAGGAACCUGCCUCGGAGUGGGGAAUAACACAACGAAAGCUGUGCUAAUACCGCAUGAUACAGUUGGGUCGCAUGACUCUGACUGUCAAAGAUUUAUCGCUCUGAGAUGGCCUCGCGUCUGAUUAGCUAGUUGGUGGGGUAACGGCCCACCAAGGCGACGAUCAGUAGCCGGACUGAGAGGUUGACCGGCCACAUUGGGACUGAGACACGGCCCAGACUCCUACGGGAGGCAGCAGUGGGGAAUAUUGGGCAAUGGGCGCAAGCCUGACCCAGCAACGCCGCGUGAAGGAAGAAGGCUUUCGGGUUGUAAACUUCUUUUCUC